GGGGAGCAAACUUUUCAUUUGUGGCUUCUUGUCUUUUGUGGCUUCCUCCCUCACAUCUGUGAGGCAGACUAUGCCACUGCCUGAGCUAGUCCACCAACCUCUUCUAAUUGGGGAGCAACUACUCUCAGGUCACCUCUCUGGGAAGCCCCUGUUGCCUUCUUCAGGCAGCCUGGUUCCUGACCUUUAAAGAUCCAAAGAUCUUUCUUCUGUUGUCACAAAGUCAAGAAUCUGUGCAAGUCUCAGGCAAUUCUUCUGCUCCAUGUGUAUUAACUCAG
rnacentral:lncRNA from 1 species